UUGCCUUUUUGUUUUCUCGUUUCGAAAAAAUUUUCCCCCAACAUUGAAACCUAAGUUCGUUGCUCCGCCUCCGCAGGACCGCAGCUCUGCUUCAGUCUUCAAGGUUUCAGGAGGCGAGGCGAUAUCUGCCUGCAGCAGAGAGGGCAAGCUUCCUGCCUGCGUGUAGUCCAGCACCAGAAGCUUCUCAUCUUUGGAAUAGUAGUAGGCCCAGAUUGGCGGCGAGGAAUGGGGGCAAGUUCGUGGAGGGAGCGCUGAGGGUUGAUAACCUUUCUGAAGGAAUUCUGGCAUGCGUAUUCAGAGACUAUCUCAAGCAUUCAGUGCAAGGAGGACCACGAAAUCUUUUUAGCCAAUCAAGGAUCUGGGGAGGCAAUCAAAGAUGUAGCAGCGGUAUCCUUGAAUGAUGAAACUUCAGUAUUGCAAAGACAGCGUGAAGCAGAAAAGAUUAUUGUUGAGGCUUACAGUGCUCUUCUUCUUGCCUUCCUCUUAAUUGAAAGAUACUUCUAGGAUUUUUCCACUUCCCUGUCAUUUCAUUGGGGUAGCCUGCCCACCAACUCCUGAAACUCAACUGGAAGCUAUAGGAGAAGAGCUUUAUGCAACAUUAAAGUGUGUCUCUACUGCAAGAAUGGCAACUGCUUUCUUGACAAUGCGUUGCAGAGCUUUAUGCAACAUUAAAGUGUGUCUCUACUGCGAGAAUGGCAACUGCUCCUAGCUGUGGACAUGGAUCCUUAUCAUAUCCCACAAAGGAAACCACGGAUGAGGGUUGGAGUAGAACAUUAUUCAAGAAUCUGAUGUUUUUCCUAAGUCAUGGCGUGGGUAAAUCCGUUUGAGUUUGAUAGCUUGUCAUCGUCAUAACUUUUUUGCUAAGAAAAUUUGUCUAGUACUUCAUGAUUUUUACAAAGUUGUAGGACGUGAAUAAUUUAGACUUGCCUUUGUCAAUGAAAUUUUGUGUCGCCAAAUUCUACUUCCAUGUUGCUAACUUAUUUACAUUUUAAAUUUCUAGGUACCUAAAGAUUCCUUGCUUUUCAUAAUUACCGCUUUUGGUGGUGUCGUUUCAUGGGAAGGUGAAGCAUCUCCUUUUAGCAAAGCUGAUGAAAGUAUCAUGCUUCAGAUAGCUGAAGAACAACCCCAGUCCAACAUGUUCCCUUCUAGAAGAUACGUUCGACUGACGUGGGUGUAUGACAGUAUAUUGCUUCAAAUUUCUCCUCUUUCUUCUUCUCACCAAACUACAACGUAAAUGAAAGAAUUUGAUAAGCACUUCUGGGUUUCACUUUUUUUUUAAAUAUAAAAGAAAAAGCUAGAUAUGCAUAGCCUAAGCACAAAUACAUGAAAAAGAAUCUAGUUUAACAAAGAACUAAUAAAAACAGUUCAUACUAAAAUUUUCUCAAAAUGCUUCAGCUCCUCCUCUUUUCAAAUGUCCAAUUUCAGGAAAGGUUGCUCCUCAGAACUCGGGGCUUUUUGGUCAGAAUUAUUGGCUUUCUUUGCCACCAUAUAGUCAGUGCAGCUGAUGCCUUUUAAUUCCAUCUUCAGUUCUUUGAGGUAUUGUUUCUCCAGCCUUGCAUUAUAAAAGAUGAGCGAAUUUUCAAUAAUUGGUUUAAGCAUUUACUUUCAGCCGUUUGUUUUGCAUCAAAUUUACUUGUCAAAUAUUCGAGGACAAAUGUAUAGUAAGGAACGUGACUGCAAAGCCUUCAAAAGGAGAAAAAUAAAGCGAAAGGAGGUAGAAUAACAAAACCAAGUGCAUGAUUGUGGAUUCCUUGUUUUUCAAUGGUUGUCUAUGAGAUUUGUUUUUCUUGGACUGUAAAUGCUUACACCAAUUAUUGAAAAUUCGCUCAUCCUUUUAGGGUGCAAGGCUUGAUAAACAAUAUCUCGAAGAAUUGAAGAUGAAAUUAAAAGACAUCAACUACACUAACUAUAUGGUGACAAAGAAAGUCAAUAGUUCUAACCAAAAAACCUAGAGUUUUGAGGAGCAACCUUUCUUGGAAUUGGACAUUUGGGAAGAGAAGGAGCUGAAGCAUUUUGAGGAAAUUUUAAUAUGAACCGUUUUGAUUAGUUCUUUGUUAAACUAGUUUUUUUAUGUAUUUGUGCUUAGGUCAUGCAUAUCUAGCUUUUUCUUUUAUAUUUUAAAAAAGUGAAACCUAUGGGUGUUUAUCAAAUUCUUUCAUUUAAGUUGUAGUUUGGUGAGGAGAGGAAAGAUGAGAAAGCUGCUCUUGAUGAAGAGGAGAGAAAGUUCAAAGAAAUUGGCAAAGGAGAAGGCUCUUCUUGAAAAAUAGUGUUAGUCUCUUCUAAAAUAUCCUUCAUUUUCCAUUUUGAAUGCAAAGGAGAAGGCUUUCUGCAAAGCCAAAGUACUCAAAUUGUCAGGGGAUUCAAGUUUUAGAGAAGAUGGCUCUUUAAAGACAGGUUAAUGUUCAGUGGAUUCAAGUUUUAUGAAGGUGGCUCUUUAAAGGCGGGUUA